rnacentral:rRNA from 1 species
CGGAGGAUCCAAGCGUUAUCCGGAAUUACUGGGCGUAAAGAGUUGCGUAGGUGGCAGAGUAAGCAAAUAGUGAAAGCCUGGGGCUCAACCCCUUACACAUUAUUUGAACUGCUCAGCUUGAGGACGAGAGAGGUUAUUGGAAUUCCUAGUGUAGGAGUGAAAUCCGUAGAUAUUAGGAGGGACACCGAUGGCGUAGGCAGAUAACUGGCUCGUUCCUGACACUAAGGCACGAAAGCGUGGGGAGCAAACGGGAUUAGAUACCCCGGUAGUCCACGCCGUAAACGAUGGAUGCUAGCUGUAAGAAGUAUCGACCCUUCUUGUAGCGAAGCUAACGCGUUAAGCAUCCCGCCUGUGGAGUACGGUCGCAAGACUA